CAGAGCCGCGGUAAUACGUAGGUGGCAAGCGUUGUCCGGAAUUAUUGGGCGUAAAGGGCUCGCAGGCGGUUUCUUAAGUCUGAUGUGAAAGCCCCCGGCUCAACCGGGGAGGGUCAUUGGAAACUGGGAAACUUGAGUGCAGAAGAGGAGAGUGGAAUUCCACGUGUAGCGGUGAAAUGCGUAGAGAUGUGGAGGAACACCAGUGGCGAAGGCGACUCUCUGGUCUGUAACUGACGCUGAGGAGCGAAAGCGUGGGGAGCGAACAGGAUUAGAUACCCCAGUAGUCCCUGUCUCUUAUACA
rnacentral:rRNA from 1 species